GAUGAAGAACGUAGCGAAAUGCGAUAAGUAAUGUGAAUUGCAGAAUUCAGUGAAUCAUCGAAUCUUUGAACGCACAUUGCGCCCCUUGGUAUUCCGGGGGGCAUGCCUGUUCGAGCGUCAUUACAACCCUCAAGCUCUGCUUGGUCUUGGGCGUCACCGGUCCCCGGUGUGCCUUAAAAUCAGUGGCGGCGCCAUCUGGCUCUAAGCGUAGUACAUACUCUCGCUACAGACGUCCGGUGGAUGCUGGCCAACAACCCCCAAUUUAUCAAGGUUGACCUCGGAUCAGGUAGGGAUACCCGCUGAACUUAAGCAUAUCAAUAAGCGGAGGA
rnacentral:misc_RNA from 1 species